AAAUAUGAAGCGAUUUAUUGCAAUUAGUUUCGACCUAAUUUUCAGGUGAAAUCCACCCUUAUUUU
rnacentral:tRNA from 1 species